CUGCUAUCGAGGUGGAACUAAGCCAUGCUAGUCGUACGCUCCGAAACUACGGUCGGAGAGUGGCAUACUGCUCAGUAACACGUAGCUAACCUAACCUCAGGACAGGGACAACCCCGGAAAACUGGGGCUAAUCCCAGAUAGGUGUGGAAACCUGGAAUGGUUCUACACUCAAAAGUGCAACUUCCAUGUUUGUUGCAUGCCUGAGGAUGGGGCUGCGGCCGAUCAGGCAGUUGGCGAGGUAAUGGCUCACCAAACCAUUGACCGGUACGGGCCAUGAGAGUGGUAGCCCGGAGAUGUGCACUGAGACAAGGGCACAGGCCCUACGGGGCGCAGCAGGCGCGAAACCUCCACAAUGCACUAAAGUGCGAUGGGGUUACCUCGAGUGUAUUUUGAAGAAGGAUGCUUUUUCACUGUGUAAUAAACCGUGGGAAUAAGAGGGGGGCAAGACUGGUGUCAGCCGCCGCGGUAACACCAGCCCCUCGAGUGGUGGGGAUGAUUAUUUGGCCUAAAGCGUUUGUAGCCGGCUAUGUCCGUCACCCGUUAAAUCCAACGUUUCAAGCGCUGGGGUGCGGGGGAUACCACAUAGCUAGAGGGUGGGAUAGGUAAGCGGUAUUUUUGGGGUAGGGGGGAAAUCCUUUGAUCCCAGGAGGACCACCAGUGGCGAAGGGUGCUUACUAGAACACGCCUGACGGUCAGGGACGAAAGCUGGGGUAGCGAACCGGAUUAGAUACCCGGGUAGUCCCAGCUGUAAACGAUGCUCGCUAGGUGUUGGGUUGGCCAUGCGCCGCCCCAGUGCCGCAGGGAAGCCGUUAAGCGAGCCGCCUGGGGAGUACGGCCGCAAGGCUGAAACUUAAAGGAAUUGGGGGGGGAGCACCCCCAGGCGUGAAGCCUGCGGUUUAAUU
rnacentral:rRNA from 1 species